rnacentral:rRNA from 1 species
AAUGGGCGCAAGCCUGAUCCAGCCAUUCCGCGUGCAGGAUGAAGGCCUUCGGGUUGUAAACUGCUUUUGUACGGAACGAAACGGUUCUCUCUAAUACAGGGGGCUAAUGACGGUACCGUAAGAAUAAGCACCGGCUAACUACGUGCCAGCAGCCGCGGUAAUACGUAGGGUGCAAGCGUUAAUCGGAAUUACUGGGCGUAAAGCGUGCGCAGGCGGUUUUGUAAGACAGAUGUGAAAUCCCCGGGCUUAACCUGGGAACUGCGUUUGUGACUGGUGGGCUUGAGUGCGGCAGAGGGGGGUGGAAUUCCACGUGUAGCAGUGAAAUGCGUAGAGAUGUGGAGGAACACCGAUGGCGAAGGCAGCCCCCUGGGUCGACACUGACGCUCAUGCACGAAAGCGUGGGGAGCAAA